rnacentral:rRNA from 1 species
GACGUAGGGCGCGAGCGUUGUCCGGAUUUAUUGGGCGUAAAGAGCUCGUAGGCGGCUUGUUGCGUCGACUGUGAAAACCCGCGGCUUAACCGCGGGCCUGCAGUUGAUACGGGCGGGCUAGAGUUCGGUAGGGGAGACUGGAAUUCCUGGUGUAGCGGUGAAAUGCGCAGAUAUCAGGAAGAACACCGGUGGCGAAGGCGGUCUGCUGGGCAGUUGCUGACACUGAGGCGCGACAGCGUGGGGAGCAAACAGG